GGUUAAGCGACUAAGCGUACACGGUGGAUGCCCUGGCAGUCAGAGGCGAUGAAGGGCGUGCUAAUCUGCGAUAAGCGCCGGUAAGGUGAUAUGAACCGUUAUAACCGGCGAUACCCGAAUGGGGAAACCCAGUGUGAUUCGUCACACUAUCAUUAACUGAAUCCAUAGGUUAAUGAGGCGAACCGGGGGAACUGAAACAUCUAAGUACCCCGAGGAAAAGAAAUCAACCGAGAUUCCCCCAGUAGCGGCGAGCGAACGGGGAGGAGCCCAGAGCCUGAAUCAGCAUGUGUGUUAGUGGAAGCGUCUGGAAAGGCGCGCGAUACAGGGUGACAGCCCCGUACACAAAAGCGCAUGUGCUGUGAGCUCGAUGAGUAGGGCGGGACACGUGGUAUCCUGUCUGAAUAUGGGGGGACCAUCCUCCAAGGCUAAAUACUCCUGACUGACCGAUAGUGAACCAGUACCGUGAGGGAAAGGCGAAAAGAACCCCGGCGAGGGGAGUGAAAAAGAACCUGAAACCGUGUACGUACAAGCAGUGGGAGCACAGGUUUACCUGUGUGACUGCGUACCUUUUGUAUAAUGGGUCAGCGACUUAUAUUCUGUAGCAAGGUUAACCGAAUAGGGGAGCCGGAGGGAAACCGAGUCUUAAUUGGGCGUUAAGUUGCAGGGUAUAGACCCGAAACCCGGUGAUCUAGCCAUGGGCAGGUUGAAGGUUGGGUAACACUAACUGGAGGACCGAACCGACUAAUGUUGAAAAAUUAGCGGAUGACCUGUGGCUGGGGGUGAAAGGCCAAUCAAACCGGGAGAUAGCUGGUUCUCCCCGAAAGCUAUUUAGGUAGCGCCUCGUGAAUUCAUCUCCGGGGGUAGAGCACUGUUUCGGCUAGGGGGCCAUCCCGGCUUACCAACCCGAUGCAAACUGCGAAUACCGGAGAAUGUUAUCACGGGAGACACACGGCGGGUGCUAACGUCCGUCGUGAAGAGGGAAACAACCCAGACCGCCAGCUAAGGUCCCAAAGUCAUGGUUAAGUGGGAAACGAUGUGGGAAGGCCCAGACAGCCAGGAUGUUGGCUUAGAAGCAGCCAUCAUUUAAAGAAAGCGUAAUAGCUCACUGGUCGAGUCGGCCUGCGCGGAAGAUGUAACGGGGCUAAACCAUGCACCGAAGCUGCGGCAGCGACGCUGAUGCGUUGUUGGGUAGGGGAGCGUUCUGUAAGCCUGUGAAGGUGGCCUGUGAGGGUUGCUGGAGGUAUCAGAAGUGCGAAUGCUGACAUAAGUAACGAUAAAGCGGGUGAAAAGCCCGCUCGCCGGAAGACCAAGGGUUCCUGUCCAACGUUAAUCGGGGCAGGGUGAGUCGACCCCUAAGGCGAGGCCGAAAGGCGUAGUCGAUGGGAAACGGGUUAAUAUUCCCGUACUUGGUGUUACUGCGAAGGGGGGACGGAGAAGGCUAUGUUGGCCGGGCGACGGUUGUCCCGGUUUAAGCGUGUAGGUGUGUGUUCCAGGUAAAUCCGGUUCACUUUAACACUGAGGCGUGACGACGAGGCACUACGGUGCUGAAGCAACAAAUGCCCUGCUUCCAGGAAAAGCCUCUAAGCAUCAGGUAACAUCAAAUCGUACCCCAAACCGACACAGGUGGUCAGGUAGAGAAUACCAAGGCGCUUGAGAGAACUCGGGUGAAGGAACUAGGCAAAAUGGUGCCGUAACUUCGGGAGAAGGCACGCUGAUAUGUAGGUGAAGCGGUUUACCCGUGGAGCUGAAAUCAGUCGAAGAUACCAGCUGGCUGCAACUGUUUAUUAAAAACACAGCACUGUGCAAACACGAAAGUGGACGUAUACGGUGUGACGCCUGCCCGGUGCCGGAAGGUUAAUUGAUGGGGUCAGCGCAAGCGAAGCUCCUGAUCGAAGCCCCGGUAAACGGCGGCCGUAACUAUAACGGUCCUAAGGUAGCGAAAUUCCUUGUCGGGUAAGUUCCGACCUGCACGAAUGGCGUAAUGAUGGCCAGGCUGUCUCCACCCGAGACUCAGUGAAAUUGAACUCGCUGUGAAGAUGCAGUGUACCCGCGGCAAGACGGAAAGACCCCGUGAACCUUUACUAUAGCUUGACACUGAACAUUGAGCCUUGAUGUGUAGGAUAGGUGGGAGGCUUUGAAGCGUGGACGCCAGUCUGCGUGGAGCCGACCUUGAAAUACCACCCUUUAAUGUUUGAUGUUCUAACGUGGACCCGUAAUCCGGGUUGCGGACAGUGUCUGGUGGGUAGUUUGACUGGGGCGGUCUCCUCCUAAAGAGUAACGGAGGAGCACGAAGGUUGGCUAAUCCUGGUCGGACAUCAGGAGGUUAGUGCAAUGGCAUAAGCCAGCUUGACUGCGAGCGUGACGGCGCGAGCAGGUGCGAAAGCAGGUCAUAGUGAUCCGGUGGUUCUGAAUGGAAGGGCCAUCGCUCAACGGAUAAAAGGUACUCCGGGGAUAACAGGCUGAUACCGCCCAAGAGUUCAUAUCGACGGCGGUGUUUGGCACCUCGAUGUCGGCUCAUCACAUCCUGGGGCUGAAGUAGGUCCCAAGGGUAUGGCUGUUCGCCAUUUAAAGUGGUACGCGAGCUGGGUUUAGAACGUCGUGAGACAGUUCGGUCCCUAUCUGCCGUGGGCGCUGGAGAACUGAGGGGGGCUGCUCCUAGUACGAGAGGACCGGAGUGGACGCAUCACUGGUGUUCGGGUUGUCAUGCCAAUGGCACUGCCCGGUAGCUAAAUGCGGAAGAGAUAAGUGCUGAAAGCAUCUAAGCACGAAACUUGCCCCGAGAUGAGUUCUCCCUGAGACUUAGAGUCUCCUGAAGGAACGUUGAAGACGACGACGUUGAUAGGCCGGGUGUGUAAGCGCAGCGAUGCGUUGAGCUAACCGGUACUAAUGAACCGUGAGGCUUAACCUU
rnacentral:rRNA from 1 species